CUGUUUAUCAAAAACACAGCUCCCUGCGAACUCGUAAGAGGAUGUAUAGGGGGUGACGCCUGACCAAUGCGAGAAGGUUAAACAGCGGCAGUUGUUUUGCGCAAGCGGAACAGCCGACUGCUGUAAGCCCUCGUCAAUGUCAGCUGUAACUAUAGAAAUAACCGUUGUAGUUACAUAAAAAAAUCUUGCUAUAUGCUGGAAAAGCCGCGCAUAUUACAAUACUGUAAAACACAGUAACAAUUUGUAAUCGAAACGGCCAAUCAGCAGGAAAUCGGAAAUCAGACAUCUGAAAUCCGAGUUCCUCAGAGACUAUACGCAAGAUAUCUUUUAGAGCAAAAAAUGCUGACUGCUUUGAAAGUAAAGAUAUAGUCCGAUCUCAUAGGCGACUAUGAGGGGCAAAAUGCCCGCGCAAAAAUGAAAUUGCGUAACAUAAAAGAACGGUUCUAAGGUGAUUUAAGUUGCUUUAGUAAAAUUUGGCUAUAUGCUGGAAUACCCAGCCGUAGUUUUGAGAAACUAUGGCUGGACAAUCAGCAGGGAAGAUUUUUUUUAGGAGGAAAAAAUUAUGAAUAAUAAAAAAAUAUCUGAAGAAUCUGAAGAAUCUAUAGUGAAAAAAGUAGAACGAAAAGUAGAACGAGCAGAAAAAAAUACACAAAAAAGAUGUAUUAAGAUAGACGGUAUACAACCCGGAAUGACUUAUAGAGAAUGUUCUGUUUGUUCAUGGAGCGGCAUGAUUCAUAAGUCGCACGACAAAUGUCUUAAAUGUGGAAAUAAUUUUCUCUAAAAAAAUAUAUCCCCUCAGAGACUACACGCCAAACCCAGCCGCAGUUUUUUUAAAAAACUGCGGCUGGGAAGAUAUAGUCCGAACUGCAUAGUAAUAUGCAGAGAUAGGCAGAAAUGACCUAUCCCAUAGUUUAUAACUAUGAAUAACAAAUUUGAGCGUAAUUCCUUGCGUGGUGAGUUCACGCGUGCACGAAAGGCGUAACGACUGGGGGACUGUCUCGGGAAGGGGCCCGGUGAAAAUGCAAUACCGGUGAAGAUGCCGGUUACCUGCAGUUAGACGAAAAGACCCUAGAAGCUUUACUAUAGCUUGGCAUUGGGUUUAGAUUUUGGAUGCGUAGAAUAGGCGGGAGGCUUUGAAGUUCCGUUUUCGGGCGGAAUGGAGCCGCCAGUGCAAUACCGCUCUUUCAAAAUUUAAAUUCUAACUUCGGCGGCAAAAACGCCGAAAGACAGUGUCUGGUGGGUAGUUUAAGUGGGGCACUUACCUGCUAAAGAGUAAUGCAGGCGCCUAUUAAGGUCGGCUAUUCCGCGAUGGAAACGCGGAAGAUAGUGUAAUGGCAAAAGCCGGCUUGACUGCGAGACGGACAUGUCGAGCAGCCGCGAAAGCGGAGCAUAGUGAACCGACCGCAGGAAUUAGACACCGCGGAAGAUCAACGGAUAAAAGCUACUCUAGGGAUAAACUCUGUAAAAAGAGUUGUUGUCCCUUUUAUCAGUAAUGAUAAAAUAAAAUGCGGCUUAUAACGGUGGAUACAAAAUUUAGCUCCUGAUUUAAAUUGAAAAAUUAGGUUUAAAAUUUUGGGAAUACCGUGGGAAGUCAACAAAAAUUCAAAAUUCAAAAAUCAAAGUGCAAAAUGACAAUGUCAAAUUAAAAAUUUUAAAUUUUGAUUUGUCAUUUUGAUUUUUGCAUUUUACAUUUUGCAUUUUUUGUUUGACCCCGUAACGACUUAUUCUAAAGAGGUCAUCUCAAAAUUCAUUCGUCGCGAAAUUUUCGAUUUUUGAGACCUGCCUGCCGGCAGGCAGGUGCAACGAGGAAGGCGAGCAAAAAGAUUUGAGUCGUAGUAGAACUACGGCGAAAAUCUUUUUUUGAAGCCUGACGAAGUUGCAGCCAAAAAGCUAAAAUUGCAGCAGAUUGAGUUUUUAGAUGACCUCAAAUUAAGAAUAAAGGAAAUAUAUUUUUAUUUCCUAAGACGCCGCGCCCUAAUCUUUCAACGAAAGAUUAGGGAGAAGAUAUAGUCUAAAUUUGUAAAAAACAAAUUUGAACAGGCUGGUACCGCCCGAGCGUCCAUAGCGACGGCGGUGUUCGGCACCUCGAUGUCGGCUCUAUAUAGGGUCGCUUCUAACAAAAGUUAGAAGGACACAUUGACUUAUAACGGUGAAGUCCUAUCAAAAAGAACCCAGACAUGAUAGGAUAAUACCGUGGGAAGCGAAAUUUUAACGCAAAGACAAAAAUCAAUUCUUGUAGGUUCGCUGCUUGGUGAUGCUACAAUUGAGCUAAGAUGGAGAAACGCUCGCGCAAGAUUUGACCAUUCUGUAAAACAGAAAGAUUAUCUAUUUUGGAAGUAUAGCGAGCUGCAAAACAUUACGACUUCCAAACCUCGAUUAGUCAAACAAUCAAUACACUGGCAGACCAAAAAGAUUUAUACGAAUUGGCAUUUUUCAACGAAAGCCAUUUCCGAAUUGAAUGAAUAUAGACAUAUUUUUUAUCGCAAUAAUAGAAAAGUGGUACCUAUUAACAUUAGUGAAAUCUUUACGGAUCCACUAUCACUUGCAGUUUGGAUAAUGGAUGAUGGAUAUAAACGCAACGAUUGUGAUGCGGUUAGAAUAAGUACUGAGGCAUUCACAUUGGAAGAAAACAGACUAUUGAUUAGUUGUUUAAAUGAUAAUUUUCAUCUUCAAGCAACCAUUCAUCGUAAAGGUAAGUGGUUAAAUCUGUAUAUUCCGCAACCUUCUAUGAUGAGUUUGCGAAACCUACUGAAAGUCUAUAUACUCCCAUCAAUGCGUUAUAAGAUUAGCCCCGUAACGACUUCUUUUUUUAAAGAAAAGAGAUGGUUUUAAAAUUUAAAGCCAUAAAACGUCAACACCUUCGUUCAGUCAAGAGCAUGGUGAAGAUAUAGUCUAUACACAAAGUAAUUUGUGAGAAAUAUGCAUCUUAUCCUGGGGGUGCAGAAGCUCCCAAGGGUUUGGCUGUUCGCCAAUUAAAAAGAUACGCGAGCUGGGUUCAAACCGUCGUGAGACAGGUUGGUCUCCUAUCUACUGCAGGCGUUGAUUCUUGAGGGGAGCCGCUCUUUGUACGAGAGGAUCAGAGCGGACUGACCUCUGGUGUACCAGUUGUCCUGCCAAGGGCAUUGCUGGGUAGCUAUGUCGGGAAGGGAUAACAGCUGAAAGCAUCUAAGCAGGAAGCCCACCCCAAGAUUAGGAAUCAUAGUUUCCUGGAAGACUACCAGGUUAAUAGGACAGAGGUGUAAGCGCGGCAACGCGUUCAGCCGACUGUUACUAAUCAAACGAAG
rnacentral:rRNA from 1 species